ACUCUGUAUCCAGAGUAAGGUUUACUGACUUGGCGAGAGUGGGUUGGAAGCCAUCUUUCUUUUGCUGGCCGUUUUGUUUACAAACAUUACCGUGCAGCAGAAAAAAGCAAAAUAAAUUUCAUCCGCAACAAGAUAAAACUGCAGUGGAAAGAAAUCGAAAUACAUAAUGCGUUGGUGCUGUGCGGUCAGCAGAUGCACAAAUAAAAAAUCAUCCACCAAGGAAAAUCCUGGCAUCAUAUACCACAGAUUUCCAGCAGAUAAAGCAAGAAGAGCGAAAUGGGUGAGUUUUUGCGGACGUGGGGAAACGUAGACCCCUGUACCGAGUCAAGGAAUUUGUUCCAGACACUUUCAUGCUACCAGUUACGAUUCAAACGUGAAACAUCGUCGGCAGCUCAUUUCAAACGCGAUUCCAGUGCUUAAUCCAUCAUCCGAUCUCGGUCAACAACAGCGGCCAAUUUUUCAACAUCCGAGGGGCAAGUUGCAACCAAGUGAUAAUUAUAAUGCACAUCCAGAGGAAUCCAUUCGCGCUCGAGCCAAUCUGUCUGGAGAACUUAAACAGAACCAGCCCACUAUGCAAAAUACUGCUCCACAACGAAAGGCACCCUCCUCCCAGAACAACAACCAGCAAAAACAAUUUUCUCAUCCCUUAUCCGAGGCUUCUGCAUUGUUUACAUUGCCUGCUCAGCAUAUAACUCCAGUUUCGUCGCAUCAGCACAGUUCAGUUUCACAGCAUUCAACUCAAGUAUGACCUCAAGAACAUGUUGCAGUAUCCAGCCACUAUCAACAUCAUAAUAUGAUUUCAAAAGGACACAUGUUUAUGGAUAACUUCCAGAUCCUGAGCGUAAUUCCUUCUUUUGAUGAAAAUCUUAGCUUUUUGGAAGAAACUAUUGUUGCCGACGACUCAGCUCUCGGUUCCGAAAAUAGCUUGGAGACGUCUCUUAUUUGUUAUCCGGUGGCCUCCGAUCCAGUGAAUUCGUUUGGAAAAUCCGACCAGAAUUACCACACUUCUUCGGUGACCGUUUGUGGUACGUAUUCGAUCCAUAUGGAUUUCUGUUGGUGGUGGCUUAUUGUAUAAAAGUUUCAAAAUUUCAGAACCUGAAUGUUUUUAACGCAAUAUACAUUUUUGAUGACAUAAACAAUGUUGUCAGACGAGCAGUAUGUAUGUAUUUAAGAAUUGCGUAAUGAUAGUUAUACUUUCCACGUUUUCUACUUGUAAAAACAACAAUGCUUUAUCUGUAUUCCUCAUAUAAAAAUGACACACAGUCGCCUUUGGUUUUGUAUGUAUGUUUCCCUCUGGCAUAACAGCUAAGAUAUGAGUUGCAAUUUUUGAUUAUUUUUUUAUUGUAAAAUACAAAUUUAAUUUUGAACGAUUAGCUUUAGACUGGACAAAUUUGUUCUACAAUUUUCAACGUGGAUAUAUGCUUCCCUCUGGCUUAACAGAUAAGAUAUAUUUUUCCUGCUAGCUUAACAGCUAAGAUACAAGAUGCAUUUUGGGGUUUCUUAUUGAUUGAAAAAUAAAAGUUCAAUUUUAAGCGAUGGUUUAAACCUGUUUAAACCCUUAGCUUUUGGGUGGGCAAAUUGGUUCUACGGUUUUCAACGUGGAUAUAUUUUUUCCCGCUAGCUUAACAGCUAAAAUAGAAAAUAUCUUUUUGAGUUUCUUUUUGGUUAUAAAACGAAAAUUUAAUUCUGAAUGAUCGUAUACUUGUGGUUUUAAUUCAUUAUUUUGAUUUAUUUUUUGACGUUGGAUAACGUCUUACGGCAACAUACUG